ACGUAGGGAGCGAGCGUUGUCCGGAAUUACUGGGUGUAAAGGGAGCGUAGGCGGGAUCUUAAGUCAGGUGUGAAAACUAUGGGCUCAACCCAUAGACUGCACUUGAAACUGAGGUUCUUGAGUGAAGUAGAGGCAGGCGGAAUUCCUAGUGUAGCGGUGAAAUGCGUAGAUAUUAGGAGGAACAUCAGUGGCGAAGGCGGCCUGCUGGGCUUUUACUGACGCUGAGGCUCGAAAGCGUGGGGAGCAAACAG
rnacentral:rRNA from 1 species